GACGAACGCUGGCGGCGUGCUUAACACAUGCCAGUCGAACGAUGAAGCAAAGAAUCGAAGCUUCGGCAGAAAUUCAUUUCGGAUUAGUGGCAGACGGGUGAGUAACGCGUGAGCAACCUACCUCUUACAAAGGGAUAGCCUCGGGAAACCGGGAUUAAUACCAUAUAACAUUGCGACGAAGCAUUUCGAUGCAAUCAAAGCUACGGCGGUAAGAGAUGGGCUCGCGUCCCAUUAACCGGAUGGUGAGGUAACGGCUCACCAUAGUGACGAUGGGUAACCGGCCUGAGAGAGUGAACGGUCACACUGGAACUGAGACACGGUCCAGACUCCUACGGGAGGCAGCAGUGGGGAAUAUUGCACAAUGGAGGGAACUCUGAUGCAGCGACGCCGCGUGAGUGAUGAAGGAAUUCGUUUCGUAAAACUCUGUUCUAUGGGAAGAAAAGGACUGUACCAUAGGAGAAAGCUCCGGCUAAAUACGUG
rnacentral:rRNA from 1 species